GACGAAGGGGGCUAGCGUUGUUCGGAAUUACUGGGCGUAAAGUGCGUGUAGGCGGUUAUCCAAGUCGGGGGUGAAAGCCUUGAGCUCAACUCAAGAAAUGCACUCGGUACUGGGUGACUAGAGGACCGGAGAGGAUAGUGGAAUUCCCAGUGUAGCGGUGAAAUACGUAGAGAUUGGGAAGAACACCAGUGGCGAAGGCGGCUAUCUGGACGGUUUCUGACGCUAAGACGCGAAAGCGUGGGGAGCAAACAGG
rnacentral:rRNA from 1 species